AUCAGGCACCGAGCUUGAGAUGGCCUCUGACCAGCCCAGUUCAAGGAAACACCAAUUAUUUUUGGUCAUUUAACUAUGUGAAAUCACCCCAGCCACACAAAACUGAAUAAACGCACAUGCUGACAUCAUACUGCAGACGAUACUAGAAGGUAGCAUGGACAGAAAGGGAAAGUUUUCUCACAAAAAUUGUUUGAAACAUUUUGGACUCAAACCUGC
rnacentral:lncRNA from 1 species